rnacentral:lncRNA from 1 species
CUCCAUCUUUAUUAACCCUCUCUUUGAAUCCAUUUUCAACUGGAGGUUUGACCACAUCCUGUUCUUUGACUUUUUUAGAUGAAGGUUGACCUUCAUUGACCGACUUUUCUUUAUCAAGUUUCUUGAUCUUUUUGCCUUGCUUAUGUUUCUUUUUCUUCCUUCGGUUUAAUGAAGUCCCCAUUAGAACAUUUGCACUGACUUUCAUACUUACAAUUUUCUUGCACUUCAAAAAGUUCUUUACUUUCUUGUUGGGUUUCCGGUCAACAUCCUUCUUCUUGGUCAAACUUCCCAUUUCUGGUAAGUUCUUUGCUUUCUUGUGGACUUUUUGGUCAUGAGGUUCCUUGUUGGUCAAACUUUCCAUUUUUGGCAAGUCUGGUGUAUCUACUACCAUUGCAGCCCCCUUUUCACCAUCACCACCACUAUUGCUUCCAACAACCAACUCACCUCUACCAUUUUCCUGUAAACUUAUACAAUUAAAAAUGAGAAAAGAACAAACUAAUAAACUCCAUACAAAAAAUGAGAAAUUUUUACCUUCAAAGUUUCACCCUUAUCUGUUUUACUUUCAGCAUUUCCAAGAUUCACAUUCGGGACACUAAAAUCUCCAUUUUUGGAGUUGACUGAGCUUUCUGAACUUUUUGGAACCAAAUCUUCUUUCUUUGCUUUUUGUUCUGUUGCACCUGUAACUGAAGAUCCAUUACUUAAAAUGACAUUCAUUUGGGUCUCUUUUUGUACAAUUGAGGAUAUUUGGGUCUCUUUUGGUACAUUCAGGGGUAUUGGGGUGUCUUUUGGUACAACACUGGAACCAUUUCUCAUUGGAAUCUUUUGGGUCUCUUUUGAUACAUUGAGGCCAUUACUCAUUGGAAUCUUUUGGGUUUCUUUUGAUACACUGAGGCCAUUAUUCAUUGGAAUCUUUUCUUUCUGAUGAACAACAUCUGUAGUUUUCUUUGAUGGAAAACUCUUUUGAUCACGGAAAUAAAACAACAUGUAGGCUUUCUGCUCAAAAACCUUCUUUUCACUCACUUGAUAUACACGAUUGUCAUCAAGUGAAUACCACAUGCCACUAGAUGUCCUAACAAAGCAAUAAUAGUGCCCAGAAUGUGUACUCCAACCAGCAUGAACCAAAACCCCAUAUAGAGUGUACUUCAAAUCCCCAUCCUGAAUUGUAAUAAAAGGUUUGUAAAAUGCAAAAAAAACAUCAAUCUAGUGUCAUUUCUUUCUAUUAUGUUGCUUUUUCUUGAAUUUACACCAACAAAACCAAGAAAAGAGAUGAACUUGACUUACAUAUGGACCAGUGACAAAAGGUUUUAAGUCCAAAGUAGAACCGAAUUGGAUUUUCUUGUCAAUCUUUUGGCCUGACAUAUGGGAACCGAAUCUUUUAAGGUGAACAGUGAGGACAUUGGGAGCUUUGUGAACUGUAAGCUGUUUUAAAGCCUUGACUUUUUGCUUGCAUUGUUGGCACUGAUACUGUUUUGCCCCUCCAUCUAACUGUUCUUUAGCAGUGAAAUUUGCAAAAGCUUUAUACAAAGUGUCUGCUCUCAAUAUCUCCAGGCUUAAAUCCAAGAAUGGAUCGAAUUUGUUAGAGCAAUAGUUACACUGCAUGCAUUUCACCUGAAAAAUUGACACUUUGUUGUAACAGGAGCUUUCUAGGGCUAUUUCCAAUGAUGAAGAUGAGAAGAGCAUUUACGUCUGUUUCACAGAAGAGAGACUAUUACCUGACUUCGGAGACGACCACCAAAUAUCUUGUGGACUAAACUUUUAUCAUAGGCACUUUGUGAUUCACUAGGGACUCCUGUAGGUAAGCAACAUUUGUGCAUUGAUUCCAAUAAAUUUACCAUGUACUCAUGAGCAUCCUCUUGCCUUGAAUUCCUAAAAGUCCUAGAUAUGCCUAAUUAUAUAGUCAAGGAUGUUCAAAGAAAUGAGGGGAAAUGUAUAAAAGAAUAUAACUUUAUGAGAAAAGCCUCAUUUUCUUGACUUUUUCUAUUGAGUUGUUCUUUCUUGCAUAUAGCUUAUUGGAUCAAGUGUUGUAAGUUCAAAUAGAAAAAGUGAUAAAGAUAUCAUCUUUUUUAUUUUAAUCAAGAAAGUGGUGAGCAUAAAGUUAUAGAAGGAUACAACGCAAAUUUGAAACAAGAUCCUUGGGUGCUAAUGAUCUCCCUGAAGAUUGUAGUGCACGGCUGACAUGUUUUUGGAUAGCACACAAUGCACAAAAUCCAGCUUUUUGACCUUCAUAAAGUAAAUGGAGAAAUCGGUUAUCUCACAAGGGGUAGCCAUGUUUGUGAUUGUGAGUGUCUAUUUAUUGAAGGGAGAUAAAAGUGAAAUAUUUACAAGUAACUUGGUGCUUUCCACUUUGUAAAUAUGCAGCUAAAGGCUCGGUGUAUGUUAAACAUUGGAGUACUGAGUUGAGGAAGCAAGUAUUCCCAAGGUUCUCCAAACCUGCACCCUAUAGAUAGUUUAAGACAAGUGUUAAGACUAUUUGUCAAAUAUCUAAAGACACAUCAAUGAUGACAAAAAAAAAUAUAAACUUUAUGUCUUAAAAUCAAGAAUCAAUAAUUCUACAUGAUAACUAUCAGAUAUUUAUAUGGUAUAAUGAGUAAGCAUUAUGAAUCCAAAUUUAGAUGGUUUUAAAACAUCCAAGCUAUAACAAGUGUAUACAAUUCUCUUUUGCAACAGAAAAAGUGGUUUUUAAAAGAAGUCUAGAUCGAGUAAUGCAACCCAUAACACUUUACAUGUAUUAAGAAGAAUGACAUUCAAUGAAUUCUGAUGCAAAGUAUUCAGACUAAAUUCCAGCAACACCUUAUGCAUUAUAUAUAAUAACAAACUGAACCCGUUAAAUAAAGAUCAAACUUUCUUAAGCUAUGUGGCAACUAAUAUACAUGAUGAAGAAAAACUGAACAGCCAGUCAGCAACAUCAUAGAGCAAAAGCCAUGAACUUACUUUUAUGGAAACAAGAGAAGAAUUAUAAAGAUCUUAUGGAACUUAUUGCAAAAAUACAUAAAAGUUGAACAUGGAUGAUAAAAAAACAAACGAUUAUAAAAGUACAUAACCAAAAGUUGUGUAGAAAAGGCAAAAAAUAACAUAGAAACGAGAUAAUUCAUGGCCAAGCACAAAAGUAUGAAACCCCAAAUGACCACCGACAGAUGAACUACAAGUAUCCUAAAUCAACAAAUGUUGCAGUCUAAGGAACCUAGGUUUGUCAAAUGUACGAUAAUCAUCUUUGCAGUAAUUGGCUCUAGUAUGUGUUAUCCAAAAGUAAUUAGCUUGAAUGGUCCCAUCACUUUUUGCUUAUUCAACUAUUUGAAUACAGAAUCUCAUAUGCUUAUGGAAACAAGGCUGAAUUUGAAUAGAAUUUUAAAUUAUAUCCUUCGAACAGAAUUGAAGAAACUUACAAUUCUCCGAAAAGUAAUUCCAAAACUGAGUUCUGGAUCCAACCCGUUUCCUAACUCCGAUGCGUCUCUUUUCUUAGCCGAAGACCCACCACCAACACUAUCCAAUCCGACGCCCUGCUGAUUCCCAUACGUAUUAUUUGAGCUCGUGGAGGUAGGAUUGAGCGUUUCAAGCCGAAAACUCCCAUCGCCGCCUCCUUUAGUGAACCCGGUGAAGGGCUUCCUGGCUAGGUGAAACUCAAUCCUUCUAAAAGGAGAUUUAUCCACCGGAGCUAAAGAUUCAGUCGAUUCACCACCUGGGUUUUCACGACUAAUGGGUUUUUGAGUGACGAUAGCAUUCUUAUCAAUCAAGCUCAAAGUUUCGGCCAUGAUAGAUUGUAUCGAUUCAAAAGUGUGGUUUAAACACUGGAGAUUGAUGUGUUUCUAUUGACAUAUAAAUGGAUCGAUUGAUUUGGGGAUUGUGCCUGUGGAUCAAACGAAAGAAAAACAGCAAGGAGGGGCUUAGGUGUGGGAGAAAGAGAAAGAGCUGUUAAGCGGAACCCAGUCUAUUAAACCCUACUUCGCACCGAGUGUGUGAACACACACGUGUACCUCUAACACGGUUUCUAGGGUUUGCAUUUUGGAUCGGUAAAUUGGACCUUAUGCUCUUUGGAAUUAAUAUUUGGAUAAUUAAAUAAGAUAAAAUUGUGAGUAUGUUAAAAAUUAGAUGUUUUGUCCAAGAUAUUUUGAAUUUGUAGUGGUCUAAAGUGUUUUAUUUAUUGUGAAUUUGAUCUAAAGUUAUUUGAAAAUAUUUAAAAUGAUGAAUUUGUCUUUUUAAUUUAGUUUUUUAUUAUUUUUACUAUAAUUAAAAAAAUAAAAUCUUUUUCUCUCUCUCUUUCUCUCUCUCUCUCUCUCUCUCUCUCUCUCUAUAUAUAUAUAUAUAUANAUAUAUAUAUAUAGAGAGAGAGAGAGAGAGAGAUUUAUGGGUCUUUUUGUUAAAAUUCAAAGAAAAAAAAAAUGUGUUCUUGAACAAAGAACAUGAAACCAAGAACCAUAAAUCUAGUCUAAAAAACGAUAUCUUGUUGAGUUCUUCAUCGUUGAUUUAGUCUUUGAUCUAGUCAAUUUUCCAGAUCUCAAGAACACCUGUUUUUUCUUGAUUUCAAGAAUAGGAACAACUCAUUUUUGUUAGAUAUGAUGAACUACCCUCAUCAUCAUCUGUUUUGAUUUUGAACCCAGAAACCAUGCACAAACUAUCCAUUCUAGUCGGAGUAAUCUUUAUGUACAAAAUAGUAAUCUUUUUUCCUUCAUGUCUUCAUGUAAUUGAUGAAGGAUUGAACAUUUUCUUCGUCAUAAGAACCUCCAGAUAACGCACAUUUGUUCUAUGGAAAACCCUGCUUUGUUAUAAGAACACACAUCAUUCCAGCUACCACCAAACACCACCAUCACCCCAGCCACUGUGAACCACCCUUGAAUUCAAGAGAAGAUGGAAAGAUUGUAGUCGAUUAUAGAAUAAAGAGGAGCAAAUCUGGUGCGGUUUUUGUUGCCUGAGUUGAUUAAGAGUGCGUCAGGACAUGGGAAGGAUUAUGAUAGACUAAAGAAGAAAAAAG